rnacentral:tmRNA from 1 species
GGGGGUGACCGGCUUUGACGGUCUGUUCCUUGAAAGACGUGCGACGCAGUGCACGCUCGUAUGACACUCCAAAUCCAACGAGCACCCAAACUUGCCAAGAACACUCUUGCAAGCGUGAAGUCCCCGUACUUCGGUAUGCGUGACUUCGCGUUCGCGUACGCGGCAGCCUAACGGCUCUUCGCCUGCGCGACGUUCAUCCUCCCUGGUUUCUGCAGCAGGAGGGAUGGGCGGAAUUAUCUGCAGAAUAUGCUGCCGGGCACCCUUCCUGGCAAAAGAAUGGCUAAAACAUUUGCUUUGCAAAUGUUCGCCCGAACAUGCCGAAAGGCAUGUUCUAGGGGAUCGGGCAGGAGUGGUUUCGUCUGCGUUCCUCGCACCCUGCCUCAGACACUAACGCUGACUAUGCGUCGUAGACUCGCUUUCAUAGACGGAUUCGGACUCGAGUUCGACUCUCGACACCUCCACCA